GCCAGCCGGGGCCGUGGGGAAAGACGACAAGGUAACCAAGUGCUUAUGAGCAUCCAAAGGUCUUCAAGCUUCAUCUUUUCAGGUUUCUCAAAGGUACCCAGAGCCUGGAUUCCUGGAAAUGGAGACAGGGUUGAGUCUCAGCAACAUAGCCCUAAGUACCUCAUCCGUCAAGGCCAAGAAGCUCCAGCGCUUGCCCCUGACACAUCUCAGAAAAGGCAGGCUGCAGUGCCAUCCUGAGACCCAGGGAAGCUCGGAUGCCCCCAGGCCUGGUGCCUCCAGCAGCUGCCUCUGGGACUUGCAGCUCUCACCCACCCCCAAGCCUUCUGGACUCACCAGAACCCUGACAUCCCUUCACAGCCCCUGGCUGUCACCUAUCACUCUACUUCAGUCUCCCACAGACAAGGGGACAGAAGUGGUAAGCAAGAGUAAUCCCAUUUUUCAGAGG
rnacentral:lncRNA from 1 species